ACUGCUCCCAACUCUCCGAAUUUGAUGUGUCAAACCCUAAAGAAUUGCUCUGCCUGUAGAACAGAACAUGCUCAGAGACGGAAGCAAAGGUGGUGGUGGAGAAGCGAUGGUGGACAAUCCGAGAACAAUUGUAGUGAGAGAUAGAGAUCUUGGUUUUGGCUAUUAGUUCGAGAAAGCAAAUCCGACGAAUGUUGAUGAUGAUAGUUGUACAUAAGAUGAUGAUCGGAGGAGCCGCCAUUGAAGAACCAACCAACAACAAGAGAUUUGAUCUAAUUUCCAGAACCACCCAUCUGCUCAAAUUUGA